AAUUCCGGAUUCCGGAUUCCGGUCCGGACCGGACAAAAAUCGGAAAAUUCAGGUCUAGACCUGAAAUCCGGUUAAAAUAUAGAAGUACUCCGUAAAAUUCUAUUUGGGCUUUGCACACUAUGAUUCCUGACAACCUACAUAACCCUAAUACUCUUUACCUCUCCAGCCUCCUUCUACCUCUCUCCUACUACCUCCUCAUUCUCUCUCCAGCCUCCUUCUACCUCCCUCAUUCUCUCUCCUCAAUUAAAUUGAGCACCACCUACAACUCUACAAGGAUGAAACCAUGAGCACCAUCUGCGACCACCUGGGACACCGCCAAUCGGUCGUCGACCACGCACGACGCCAUCGGCGCACCGCUCUCCUUCUCGAUCUGCUUCUUAUUCGCUAAUUUGUAACUAAGUUAUCUUAAGAAGAAUGGUUUAGAGUAUCUACUUACCAAAACAAAAUGUUCAACUAGAAAUCAAUUUUAAGAUUUAAAAAAUGGGUUAAAAAUAUGUGGGUUUCUUUUCUAUACAAAAUUCAGGAAAUGGGAUUUGUAAAAUAGAAUUUUUAUUGCUUUUGAUGAUUCUUAACUAAUGAAAUUGUUGGUUCAAGUGAAUAGAUUUUUGGUACUGAAACGAAAAUUGCAAAAUUAACAAAAAAAAAACAGGGUCCAACAGGUCAAAACCCGGUUCGGACCGGAAUUUUCAGGUCCGGACCGGUCUCCGGACACACAAAUUCGUGUAUUCCGGUUCUGGUCUGGACCGGGCCGUACUUGGACCGGUGAACAGUCCUAUAUACAUAUAAUGUAGGUUUGGUGGUAAAUAUGGUCUUCCUACAUAUAAUGUGUUCCGGUGUUGAAACAGUGGAAACAAUGGGCUUCGAAUGAAGGCCCUUUUGAGUGUGUUGAAGAUCUUGCUAGCUUGAAUGAGUUGAAUCCGAAUUCACCUGCACAAUGACAGAGUUACUAGCCUCGGGGGUGUUUCCGAGGAAAGCCCCUCCGAUGCCUAAGUAUGAACGAUGCUCGGAUUCUAGAGAGAGGUUCUCUAGAGAAUAGUCUUAAGGCGAUAAAUUGGACGUACCUCGAGGUGUGAGCCUUGGCGGUUUAUUUAUAGUGUUUGCAUAAUAAAUGCCCAUAGGUCAUUUAUUGCCAGUGGGCCUUGGGCCUUGGUUGAUGGCUAAACAUCCAUUUUGGAGUGUAGUGGGUUUGAUGUUGUUGUAUUGAGCCUUUGGGCUUUGGACUUAGUGGCCCAAUUGACAGCCAAUUGGGAGCCCAAACAUAAUGCAUCUUAUCAAAGUAAUUAAUGUCCCUUAAUUGGCUCAUAGUAAACCAACCAAGAGAAAAAUAAAUAAAAUGGAAGUCGAAAACGCUUCGUCUAUCGGAACAAAAAGGUGUAGAACUUACGAUGACGUCAGCUAUUUUGGGGGGCAAAGCCAUUGUUAUCGGCUCAUCAUUGAGUAUGAGCUGUUUACACUCCUGCCGUUAAACCCUCUUUUUCUUCUUAAUGGCAGCAACGUACAACCACUACAAAAUGGGCACAGAAGACCAUCACUCUCUAUCCUCGCCCUCUUGGCUGCCAUCUCAUCACCUAUAAGAUAACUCUUUAUUUGGCAAACGGUGAAGUCGGCUUAUUUGGGGAAGCACAUGACGUAUCGAGUUAUACUAUAUUAGUUGUUUCGUUGUUGCAUUGUAGUAGUUAAUUAGUUAUUUAUCUUGUCAGAUGCAGAUUAUUAGAUAAUAUUUUGUUAAGUUUUUAAGACUAUUACACAAUUAUAUAUAUCACCUAUGUAAUGACUUAUGACUUACUCUGUAUGAGUUAUUUAUUUAUAAUAUUUAUUUUUAUCAUAUAA